rfam:Fukomys damarensis contig92955, whole genome shotgun sequence.
AUCCCUUUGUGGUUACUAAGUAUGAUGAUUGGGUUUCCACACUAUAGUGAGAGAUUGCCUCCUUCAGAUCUUUUUAUAAUGUUGGCACAUUGCAUGUCUGCUG